rnacentral:rRNA from 1 species
GAUGAACGCUGGCGGCGUGCUUAACACAUGCAAGUCGAACGGAAAGGCCCAAGCUUGCUUGGGUACUCGAGUGGCGUACGGGUGAGUAACACGUGGGUGAUCUGCCCUGCACUUCGGGAUAAGCCUGGGAAACUGGGUCUAAUACCGGAUAGGACCACAUUUUGGAUGGUGUGGUGGAAAGUUUUUCGGUGUGGGAUGAGCUCGCGGCCUAUCAGCUUGUUGGUGGGGUAAUGGCCUACCAAGGCGUCGACGGGUAGCCGGCCUGAGAGGGUGUACGGCCACAUUGGGACUGAGAUACGGCCCAGACUCCUACGGGAGGCAGCAGUGGGGAAUAUUGCACAAUGGGCGCAAGCCUGAUGCAGCGACGCCGCGUGGGGGAUGACGGCCUUCGGGUUGUAAACUCCUUUCGCUAGGGACGAAGCGUUAUGUGACGGUACCUGGAGAAGAAGCACCGGCUAACUACGUG